rnacentral:rRNA from 1 species
CCUACGGGUGGCAGCAGUGAGGAAUAUUGGUCAAUGGGCGCGAGCCUGAACCAGCCAAGUAGCGUGAAGGAUGACUGCCCUACGGGUUGUAAACUUCUUUUAUAAAGGAAUAAAGUGAGGCACGUGUGCCUUUUUGUAUGUACUUUAUGAAUAAGGAUCGGCUAACUCCGUGCCAGCAGCCGCGGUAAUACGGAGGAUCCGAGCGUUAUCCGGAUUUAUUGGGUUUAAAGGGAGCGUAGAUGGGUUGUUAAGUCAGUUGUGAAAGUUUGCGGCUCAACCGUAAAAUUGCAAUUGAUACUGGCAGUCUUGAGUACAGUUGAGGUAGGCGGAAUUCGUGGUGUAGCGGUGGAAUGCGUAGAUAUUGGGAAGAACACCAGCGGCGAAGGCGAUUCACUGGACUGUAACUGACACUGAGGCACGAAAGCGUGGGGAGCAAACAGGAUUAGAUACCCCUGUAGUC